rnacentral:rRNA from 1 species
CAGUCGAACGAAGCACUUUAACCUGAUUCUUCGGAUGAAGGUUUUUGUGACUGAGUGGCGGACGGGUGAGUAACGCGUGGGUAACCUGCCUCAUACAGGGGGAUAACAGUUAGAAAUGACUGCUAAUACCGCAUAAGACCACGGAGCCGCAUGGCUCAGUGGGAAAAACUCCGGUGGUAUGAGAUGGACCCGCGUCUGAUUAGGUAGUUGGUGGGGUAACGGCCUACCAAGCCAACGAUCAGUAGCCGACCUGAGAGGGUGACCGGCCACAUUGGGACUGAGACACGGCCCAAACUCCUACGGGAGGCAGCAGUGGGGAAUAUUGCACAAUGGGGGAAACCCUGAUGCAGCGACGCCGCGUGAGCGAAGAAGUAUUUCGGUAUGUAAAGCUCUAUCAGCAGGGAAGAAAAUGACGGUACCUGACUAAGAAGCACCGGCUAAAUACGUGCCAGCAGCCGCGGUAAUACGUAUGGUGCAAGCGUUAUCCGGAUUUACUGGGUGUAAAGGGAGCGUAGACGGCUGUGUAAGUCUGAAGUGAAAGCCCGGGGCUCAACCCCGGGACUGCUUUGGAAACUAUGCAGCUAGAGUGUCGGAGAGGUAAGUGGAAUUCCCAGUGUAGCGGUGAAAUGCGUAGAUAUUGGGAGGAACACCAGUGGCGAAGGCGGCUUACUGGACGAUGACUGACGUUGAGGCUCGAAAGCGUGGGGAGCAAACAGGAUUAGAUACCCUGGUAGUCCACGCCGUAAACGAUGACUACUAGGUGUCGGGGAGCAAAGCUC